GACGAACCGUGCGAACGUUGUUCGGAAUCACUGGGCUUAAAGGGCGCGUAGGCGGGCUGCCAAGUCUGGGGUGAAAUCCCACGGCUCAACCGUGGAACUGCCUCGGAUACUGGCGGUCUCGAGGGAGGUAGGGGCAUGCGGAACUGCGGGUGGAGCGGUGAAAUGCGUUGAUAUCCACAGGAACUCCGGUGGCGAAAGCGGCGUGCUGGACCUCUUCUGACGCUGAGGCGCGAAAGCUAGGGGAGCAAACGGG
rnacentral:rRNA from 1 species